UCUAUUGGAAGCCAUGAACCUGCAAUAUCUGAUACCCAUAUACAUAUACGUACUAAUCUGAAUCAUGAAUACUACCCCACGGCAAAACCCAUCGACAAUGCGAGGUGCGUCAUUCGCGGUGGCAGACAAGCGCUCCCCCUCUCUAAUACAUAGAGUUUAAAAUUGACUAGGUCUUAACACACAUACUUAGGACCUAGUUAAUCUCAAAUCCAAUUGAAUCCUAAUACAUAUACUUAUGAUUCAAUAAACCAAAAUACGAUUCAUUCAAUCCCAUUUAUAAAGGUCUCUUAAUCGAAGGUGCCCCAAUGCCACAGGGGGUAAUUAACAAUAGAUGCUUGCAUCUAUUGGAAGCCAUGAACCUGCAAUAUCUGAUACCCAUAUACAUAUACGUACUAAUCUGAAUCAUGAAUACUACCCCACAGCAAAACCCAUCGACAAUGCGAGGUGCGUCAUUCGCGGUGGCAGACAAGCGCUCCCCCUACUGUAGUUUCUUUAAAUCCUCUUCGAGUUUCUGCUUCACGCUGUUUGGGAAAUACGCCCCAUACAGCAUUCCGCAUAACUCAUCCUACUUCAUCUGCAACGCCACCAACCGUCGAGUACCCCUCAUCUUCCUCCACCAAGCAUGCGCAUUACCAGCCAAACAAUGCACUCCCAGAUAUACCUGCUCCCGCUCUGGUAUAAAUAAGUCCUCGAAUAGCUUCUCCAUCGCACUCACCCAGCC
rnacentral:lncRNA from 1 species